rnacentral:rRNA from 1 species
UACGGAGGGUGCGAGCGUUGUCCGGAAUCACGGGGCGUAAAGGGCGCGUAGGCGGCGCGGGAAGUCCGUGGUGAAAGCCCGGGGCUCAACUUCGGGUCGGCCAUGGAUACUCCUGGGCUUGAGCACUGUAGAGGCAGGUGGAAUUCCGGGUGUAGCGGUGGAAUGCGUAGAGAUCCGGAAGAACACCGGUGGCGAAGGCGGCCAACUGGACCAUUUCUGACGCUGAGGCGCGAAAGCGUGGGGAGCAAACAGG